AAUGGGGCUGGCAGGAGCAUUGUGAAUAAACUGGGCUUCUCCAACGGAUAACCAGGCUUCAGAAGGGUGAUAGUCUUCCUGAACCAUUGCACUGCUAUUGAAGAUCACUGAUUCGAGGUAAUCCUGCAGUCAAUGCAGUAACCAAGAACACUCCGCAGAGCAACCAAUAGGGUUCCACCACGGCUUCAGUGAACUGCCACCUGCUCAGCAUCAUCACACAACUAUGGAAACCAGAAACCAGGCUUUACAAGUCAUGCAGACGAUUUGAGUGUCUAGGCCAGGGACUGCAAUAAAACAAACUGGACCCCUGCUACAACACACAGCUUUAAAAGUAGAGAGAGGCUUCGGAAAUAUUGCCUGCUACCCUUGCACUUGGUCUCCCAUAAGAUCGCAAAACCAUUUCAAGAGUGAACUAUUCAAAAGUAAGGAUUGGGUACAAGUGACGAUGGUGAUGUGACUCCAUCCACAUCUUUGCCUGACUCCUGGACUUGGAUGUCAUUGACCUAGACAUUGGGCCAGUUCAGGAAGGGUUUCCUCCAUUCUCACUUCCUCCUCCACUUUGCGGAGUCACCUCAGCAACGGUCCCCUCUGGGGCCAAGUGAAGGUCACUUCCCAACCUUAGAGGCCGACUACGUCGUCUCGCCCUCCGAGAGGAAGCUUCCUGCUGGUCAGAGGGGACCCCCGGCCAAAAAACAGAAUUUCAUUUUCCAUUCUCCUGCUUAAAUCUAUUUAAUUACACUCGUGCCAGUCUCCCCCUUCGGAGAGCAAGCUUGUUCCCAACUUUCGAGCUAGUCAUUGACUCAGC